rnacentral:rRNA from 1 species
GACGAACGCUGGCGGCGUGCCUAAUACAUGCAAGUAGAACGCUGAAGAGAGGAGCUUACUCUUCUUGGAUGAGUUGCGAACGGGUGAGUAACGCGUAGGUAACCUGCCUUGUAGCGGGGGAUAACUAUUGGAAACGAUAGCUAAUACCGCAUAACAAUGGAUGACACAUGUCAUUUAUUUGAAAGGGGCAAUUGCUCCACUACAAGAUGGACCUGCGUUGUAUUAGCUAGUAGGUGAGGUAAUGGCUCACCUAGGCGACGAUACAUAGCCGACCUGAGAGGGUGUUCGGUCACACUGGGACUGCGACACGGCCCAGACUCCUACGGGAGGCAGCCGUAGGGCAUCUUCGGCGAUGGGGGCAACCCUGACCGAGCGACGCCGCGUGAGUGCAGAAGGUUUUCGGAUCGUAAAGCUCUGUUGUAAGUCAAGAACGGGUGUGAGAGUGGAAAGUUCACACUGUGACGUUAGCUUACCAGAAAGGGACGGCUAACUACGUG